rnacentral:snRNA from 1 species
GUGCUUACUUCAUCACAUAUACUAAAAUUGGAAUGAUUCAGAGAAGAUUAGCAUGGCCACUGUGCAAGGAUGACAAGCAAAUUCGUGAAAUUUUCCAUAUUAAA